GGGGAAGUGGCUCAGUUGGGAGAGCGCUGCCUUCGCACGGCAGAGGUCGGGAGUUCAAAUCUCCUCUUCUCCACCA
rnacentral:tRNA from 1 species